AUUUGCCCUUGCCCUUUACCAACUGUGCUCUCUUCUUUCUUCAGCUUCUCUCCAAGUUGCUGAUUAUGAAGGUGGAGAUCAGCAAGUUGUGUUCCAAGCUUUGAUGAAUGCCUGUUUAAGCCUCUCAUUUCCAAAUGUUCCAUCACAAACAGAGUAGUGACACCAGGCAGGUCUAUAACUUUGAUAGGUUUAGGCACUUUUAUUGUCCCUGUUUUCAGGAUGGCUUCUAGACUUGCCAUUUCUCCCUCAAACAUUCUUCUAGCCUCCGGCUUAGAGUUGCUCUUCACAUACACCCGGCCGCCGUCCGUCUCAUAGCUCUGGCCCUGGCUGAUACAACCGCCCCCCAAGUGCCCGGUAGCGCGGAGCACCGAGGUGCCCAGCUCCCGCCUCAGCGCCUCCUCCAUGCCGCCUGCC
rnacentral:lncRNA from 1 species